rnacentral:rRNA from 1 species
GAAGGCGACCAUACUAGGAGAGAAACACCCGGACCCAUUCCGAACCCGGAAGUUAAGUCUCUAUGGGAAUGGUUUGGCCCUGCCCUUUGCGGUGGAGCCUGCCAAAUGUUGCCUUCA